rnacentral:lncRNA from 1 species
UGUUGAAAAUGACACUGAAAUGAAGUAAGCAUUGAUAAUUAUGGGAAUCUUCAAAGCUAAGCAUGCAGUUCAUUGACAUGUAUACUUACACUGAAAUGAUCCCUGCAAGUAUUACGGGUUUUCGACCAAUGCGAUCAACUAUAGCUCCCCACAACAAAGAUGUCAAACAUCUGCCAAGCAUGAAUACAGAACCUACCACAUUUUUAUCAAUAUGUAAUUAGGUAUACGGGCAAAGAUUUCCCCAAUCGAAACUCUAGUAUGAGAAUCAUUAAACUUGCUAAAAAUAAAAUCAAAAUAAAAAAACCAUACCUAAUUGUGCGAACAACUUGAAGCCUGUGACACUGAAGAUCAUAUUGCGUUUGAGCACCGUCACCGACAAUAUUCCGAGUCGCAAGCACGAGAUAUAGAGAUUGAGAAUGAUUUACCUGAGCUUGAGCAAGGAAAGAGACAGUGAGAUGAACCAAUUGGACGAGAUUGAGAACGAGAACGGCAGUGAUAAAGAAUAACGAAACUGAGAGUGAAGUAGAUGAAGGAGACAGUGUGGAGAAGAAGAAUGAGACUUACCUGGAUUUGAACAAAGAACAAGAUAGUGAGACGAACCAAUUGAAUGAGACUGAGNNNN